rnacentral:rRNA from 1 species
UGGGGAAUUUUGGACAAUGGGCGAAAGCCUGAUCCAGCAAUGCCGCGUGUGUGAAGAAGGCCUUCGGGUUGUAAAGCACUUUUGUCCGGAAAGAAAUCCUUGGCUCUAAUACAGUCGGGGGAUGACGGUACCGGAAGAAUAGGCACCGGCUAACUACGUGCCAGCAGCCGCGGUAAUACGUAGGGUGCAAGCGUUAAUCGGAAUUACUGGGCGUAAAGCGUGCGCAGGCGGUUUUGUAAGACGGAUGUGAAAUCCCCGGGCUUAACCUGGGAACUGCAUUCGUGACUGCAAGGCUAGAGUAUGGCAGAGGGGGGUAGAAUUCCACGUGUAGCAGUGAAAUGCGUAGAGAUGUGGAGGAAUACCGAUGGCGAAGGCAGCCCCCUGGGCCAAAUACUGACGCUCAUGCACGAAAGCGUGGGGAGCAAAACAGGAUUAGAUACCCUGGUAGUCCACGCCCUAAACGAUGUCAACUAGUUGUUGGGGAUUCAUUCCUUAGUAACGUAGCUAACGCGUGAAGUUGACCGCCUGGGGAGUACGGUCGCAAGAUUAAAACUUAAAGGAAUUGACGGGGUCAUAGCUGUUUCCU